rnacentral:rRNA from 1 species
ACACUCCUACGGGAGGCAGCAGUGGGGAAUUUUGGACAAUGGGCGAAAGCCUGAUCCAGCAAUGCCGCGUGAGUGAAGAAGGCCUUCGGGUUGUAAAGCUCUUUUGUCAGGGAAGAAACGGUGAAAGCUAAUAUCUUUUGCUAAUGACGGUACCUGAAGAAUAAGCACCGGCUAACUACGUGCCAGCAGCCGCGGUAAUAAGUAGGGUUCAAGCGUUAAUCGGAAUUACUGGGCGUAAAGCGUGCGCAGGCGGUUUUGUAAGUCUGAUGUGAAAUCCCCGGGCUCAACCUGGGAAUUGCAUUGGGGACUGCAAGGCUAGAAUCUGGCAGAGGGGGGUAGAAUUCCACGUGUAGCAGUGAAAUGCGUAGAUAUGUGGAGGAACACCGAUGGCGAAGGCAGCCCCCUGGGUCAAGAUUGACGCUCAUGCACGAAAGCGUGGGGAGCAAACAGGAUUAGAAACCCCUGUAGUCCCAUGA